rnacentral:rRNA from 1 species
GACGAACGCUGGCGGCGUGCUUAACACAUGCAAGUCGAACGGAAAGGCCCUGCUUGCAGGGUACUCGAGUGGCGAACGGGUGAGUAACACGUGGGUGAUCUGCCCUGCACUUCGGGAUAAGCUUGGGAAACUGGGUCUAAUACCGGAUAGGAACCAUCUUUAGUGUGGUGGUUGGAAAGUUUUUUCGGUGUAGGAUGAGCUCGCGGCCUAUCAGCUUGUUGGUGGGGUAAUGGCCUACCAAGGCGGCGACGGGUAGCCGGCCUGAGAGGGUGUACGGCCACAUUGGGACUGAGAGACGGCCCAGACUCCUACGGGAGGCAGCAGUGGGGAAUAUUGCACAAUGGGCGCAAGCCUGAGGCAGCGACGCCGCGUGGGGGAUGAAGGCCUUCGGGUUGUAAACUCCUUUCGCUAGGGACGAAGCUUUUUUGUGACGGUUCCUAGAUAAGAAGCACCGGCUAACUACGUG